UGGAAAUGUGGCAUCACUAUUCUAAACUCUUUAUUUAUAAUAUCUUUCUUUCCUAUUUCUUUUUCCUUUUCUUAUUUGCAGGUCUUUUGUGGAAUAUCCAUUAUUUAAUUUCUUUCAUUCUGCUUUUUUUCCCCAAAUGUUUUUUAAAUAAAGCUCUUUUCUUGUUUCUGCACUGUAGGUCAAGACUAGAAGCAGCAAUGAUGCUUCUCUUUUUUCUAGUACAGAUAUAUACUUGUGAAGACUCAUAAAGAACUUUAAUACCAAUAAGCACAAGUAAAACUUGUUGACUGCACAGGAGGUAAAUUUGCAGACAGAGUGAAAACAUAAACAAUUGUUAUCAUUGUUCCAAAUCAAAAAAAGGUCAGCCCUAUGUGAAAAGUUUAUAGGCAACACACAUCACAAAAGUACCUUGAAAUGUUAGAAGUUAACAGCCAGAUCUUCAGCUUUAAAAAAAUGGUUUAAUGGUUUUAACACCACUGAUAUUGCUGGAGAUAUGGCAAUCCAUACCAGACUGUCCUGGCCUUCUGAUUUUUAUUCUGCAUUUUACACAUAAUUUUUGUCAUCAAUCUCCAUUUAUAUCAAUGACAAUGCAUAUUUCACACAGUCAGAAGUAGACAAAGAGGUGCAUUCAUUGUUAUAACUGAUAAAUUAGUGUCUUUGUUCAAACAACUUGCAUUUACAUUCACUGUUAGAGAAGGAAAAGCUUCUUAAAAAUUUAUAAGCUGACUAUGCAGGUUAGCUUAAAUGUGCAGUCAUACAGUGUUGACUCAGAGUUAUAUUUAGGAGUGCUUUGCAAAACUAAUGGAAAGUAGAGCAUUUGUUCAACAUCACAGACUUGCAAAUGCUUGAGCUAAAUAUAUGGUGAGCAUUCAGUCACAGGCUCAAACAGUGUGCUCUGAGUGCUUUCUGUGCAUUGACUGGUCUAAUUUUGGACAUAAUUUUGUGUUUUAUUCAAAACCAGACAAGGAUGUGAGGAAAACAUGGCCCUAUGGGAUACAGAAAAAAACUGAAACAUAAAGCAAGCUUAACGCUCUGCUUCACUUUGUGUGCCUUAUACAGCCACUUCUGGAAAGAGCACUCAGCUACCCAGGAUCAAGUUCUCUCUGAGCUGCCUGUGAGAUACCUCCAAAAGUUAUACUGGGCAUCCCCAGCCCAUCUGACAGCAAAAGGAUUUUAGUUUAUCAAUUAUUUGUUCAGAAGCCUCCCCCAGUUCUUAGCAAACUGGGACCUGGACUUUCAAACCCAGAGAUGUAUUGUCUGAGUAAAUGUGUAAUUCAUGUGUGUAAAUGCACAGAGUACUCACAUAAAUCAGUUGCUCUCAUCCACGGGUGACCAGACAGCUGCUUAACUGGCCAUGUUCCCCUACAAAUACCUUAUUUAGAGACAAGAAUUAGGCCUCCGUGAUAUAUGGAAGUCAUUGUAUGCCCUUAAACUGAUUAAUGGGAAAAUUCUUUUUCACCCUUUAUUUGUUUCAUGUUCUCCCAUCUCCCUCUAACCUGUCCCAGGACAUAAAACACUCUGAAAUGACCACCCAGUCUUUCAGAUUAUAAAUUCCUCUGGGUGGGAGAAUUUGCUUUAAAUGUUUUCUCCUGUGAGCCUGUUGUACUCUCCUGUGCUAGGGAAGUGCUUGAGUGCAUGCCUGUAGCUCUCAGCAGGAGCAGUGUCCAGGGGCCAGAAAAGCACAUGCCAGCCCCCCACCUGUCUGCAGAGGUGCUGUGCAGCCUGCAGACAACCACUGGUGCUGGAGGUGUCCUGGGGAGCUCGGUCCUCAGAGGUUGUGGUGGUACAUGCUGAGCUUGUGCUGACAACAAAGACAAUAUUUGAGCUCUUCCUCACCCUUUGUAAAGGGUCCUUCUGUCACAGUGCACUGUUGAGGUAGAGGCCCAUGCAUUCUUGUUAAUUGAUUUCAGCUGGGAAUAACAUUUAGCCAGAUCUAACCAAUCUUUUUAAACAUGACCAACUAAUACCUGUCCAUUUAGCACAUCAAGUAGCUUUAAAGCCAUUGAAGACUGAGAUGAGUCCAGCUUCAGAUGUUACUUGAAAAUGAGUGAUCAGUCCUGCCUGGGCACAUGAUUUUUCUGAUAUGUCAUGAGAAUGGCUGCAGAGUCCUUUUUGAAUUGGUUAUUUAGCCAGUGACUUGCUGGCAUCUGAAUCUGCCCAAUUUCUAAUGAAUAAUUUAAACCAUGGGAAGCAGAAAGUGUGACUGAAUUAAAAUACAAAAAAAAGCUUGAAAAUGCUUUCAUGGUCCUUUUUCUUGCUUAAAACUUGAUGAUCAAACAAGAAAAAAUUGUAGCUUAUGAUCACUUCACACUGUACAAGGAAGCAGCAGAGUUGCAAUGUUGAGCUCACUGGGUUUAUUCACUUUAAAUGGCAUCUCUUUGUAGCCAGUCAGGACAAAGCUAUAGACAUUAACAAGAAAAUAUUAAACAUUAAUUUUGUGUGUUUUCACUUGUCUUCAGAGAAUCAUUCUGUAAGCAUUUUAUCUUGCCAGAUAGAUUAUAUUCCACCACUGUGUAUGAAUUACCUGCUGCUCACCUAUUAAUCCUGCUUUUCUGUUUCCUUUUCAGCCAGUCUGAGAGGUGCAGAGAUUCCGAGUCCAGAGCAAUGUUGGAAUACAAUGUUGGAGUGUUUUCUGAAGUUAAUAAUAGGAUCAUCAGGAAGACCUGUAAGCUGUUUCCUGACAGGAGAUUGAAAGAGAAGAGAAAAUGAGCUGUUAACAAGAAUGCUGCCUGCUGUCUGACUUGUCCUAAUUCAUGAAGGGACAUAAAGCUUAGACAAAAAUUUAUGGUGCCUUAAUCCUGGGAAUGACUCAGUUGUUUAACAGCAUGUUUGUGUCCACACAAGCAUAGCAUCUGGGCUGAACCAGAGCAUCCACUGGAGCACUUCCAUGGGUGGAUAGGGGCUCUUCAGGAAUGACCAUCCAGGGGGAUGGAGUGAGUUCUGUCUGAUGGCAGCAGGGAUGCACAGAGCUCUGCCCUGGAAUGGAUGAGGACACAGCUCAGAACUUGCAAGUUCAGAUCAGCAGGAGUAAUAAUGUGGGUGUUUUUUGAGCAGGGUACCUGCUGCUGCCAGACUGACCAGGAAGAACAGAUGAACCUUUCUGCAGACAGCUGGAAAAAGUCCCCUGGUCCUCACAGGGGCCUCCAACCACUGAUACCUGCUGGAAAAGACACAACAAACCACAAGUGAUCUGGGAGGUUCCUGCAGCAGAGGGACAAUGCUGCAGAAUUCCUGACAUGGGUGGUAGAAAAGCCAACAAAGUGAAACACUCUGACAGACAUUAUACUUACCAACAUGAACGUUGUGGGCAGGCUUGGCUUCAGCGACCAUGAGCUGUGGUAUUCAGUGUCCUGAGAGGUGGGAGAAGUGCCAAGAUUAGUAUCACAAUUCUGAACUUCAGAACAGACUUUGUAUUUUUCAAAGACCUAUUUGGGAUAAUCCCAUGGAACAUGUCCCAGAAUAGAUGAGCAGUCCUUGAAAGCUGGCUGAUUUUCAAGAUCACAUCCUCCAAGCUAGAAAAUGAUCCAGUCUGACAAGCAGGAAAGCAAUCCAAAGUGGCAGAAGGGCUUCAUGGAUAAACAAGAAGACCAAGGAAGCCUUAUCCCCACUGAAGAGGUGGGGCAGAGAAUAACUAAAAAAAUCGUGCAUGCACAAAUCCUUGGACCUUAAGGAAUUUGAGGGAAUCUCCCUAUAGAAAGAGGAUUCUGUGUUCUGAGCAGUUCUUUCACCUUUUUGUGAUGUAUGAAUGUAGUUUUUUCCUUCUGAAAAAAAAAAUCUACUGAAAGCCAAUUUACUCUUCUCAGUAUAACCACUUCUCUAACCUUGCAAACACAUUUCAUAGCUGCAAGGUGAUAGCAUACUGUUCAGAGCUCAGCUUAAAACAAA